CCAUGAAUACAACAAACCACUAUAUAUAUUAAUCAGUUAUAAACCGAGGCUUUACAUGUUGGCAUGACCAGCCAACCUGAUGAACUCUAGUAUUCUGCCUAAGUCCCAUCGGUAACAGCUUGCAAGAUGUGUGGUCAAGAUGCUAUUACAUUCUUCUUAUUGGAAACUCACACAGGGCCGGUUUGUAUGAACAAUGAACCCCAGAGUCUGAUGAUUCAGAAGACCAACGACGCUUCUGAUUGGAAAGUUCUACUGCAGACUGUAAAGUAGGAAGCUUGAAGGCAGAAGAAAGAAAAUCUAAAAUGAAUAAUUUGGAACAAGGAAGUGCCAUGUGAUACAAUAAAGUGAAACUGAGAAUCUAUUUAAAUAUUUCCUUUUGAAAUUAAAAAUUAUAUAAUAUCAAAAGUUGAGUUAUAAAAUACAUUUUG